UUCGGGGACAGGAUGACAGGUGGUGCAUGGUUGUCGUCAGCUCGUGUCGUGAGAUGUUGGGUUAAGUCCCGCAACGAGCGCAACCCUUAUUGUUAGUUGCUACCAUUUAGUUGAGCACUCUAGCGAGACUGCCCGGGUUAACCGGGAGGAAGGUGGGGAUGACGUCAAAUCAUCAUGCCCCUUAUGUCUAGGGCUACACACGUGCUACAAUGGCAAGUACAACGAGAUGCAAUACCGCAAGGUGGAGCUAAACUAUAAAACUUGUCUCAGUUCGGAUUGUAGGCUGAAACUCGCCUACAUGAAGCUGGAGUUGCUAGUAAUCGCGAAUCAGAAUGUCGCGGUGAAUACGUUCCCGGGCCUUGUACACACCGCCCGUCACACCAUGAGAGUUGGCAAUACCCAAAGUUCGUGAGCUAACCCGUAAGGGAGGCAGCGACCUAAGGUAGGGUCAGCGAUUGGGGUGAAGUCGUAACAAGGUAGCCGUAGGAGAACCUGCGGCUGGAUCACCUCCUUUCUAUGGA
rnacentral:rRNA from 1 species